rnacentral:rRNA from 1 species
CGGUAAGGCCCUUCGGGGUACACGAGUGGCGAACGGGUGAGUAACACGUGGGUAAUCUGCCCUGCACUUCGGGAUAAGCCUGGGAAACUGGGUCUAAUACCGGAUAUUCAGAUUCUGCCGCAUGGUGGUUUCUGGAAAGUUUUUCGGUGCAGGAUGUGCCCGCGGCCUAUCAGCUUGUUGGUGGGGUAAUGGCCUACCAAGGCGACGACGGGUAGCCGGCCUGAGAGGGUGAUCGGCCACAUUGGGACUGAGACACGGCCCAGACUCCUACGGGAGGCAGCAGUGGGGAAUAUUGCACAAUGGGCGCAAGCCUGAUGCAGCGACGCCGCGUGAGGGAUGACGGUCUUCGGAUUGUAAACCUCUUUCAGUAGGGACGAAGCGAAAGUGACGGUACCUGCAGAAGAAGCACCGGCCAACUACGUGCCAGCAGCCGCGGUAAUACGUAGGGUGCGAGCGUUGUCCGGAAUUACUGGGCGUAAAGAGCUCGUAGGCGGUUUGUCACGUCGUCUGUGAAAUCCUACAGCUUAACUGUGGGCGUGCAGGCGAUACGGGCAGACUUGAGUACUACAGGGGAGACUGGAAUUCCUGGUGUAGCGGUGAAAUGCGCAGAUAUCAGGAGGAACACCGGUGGCGAAGGCGGGUCUCUGGGUAGUAACUGACGCUGAGGAGCGAAAGCAUGGGUAGCGAACAGGAUUAGAUACCCUGGUAGUCCAUGCCGUAAACGGUGGGCGCUAGGUGUGGGUUUCCUU